rnacentral:rRNA from 1 species
CGCCAACACUGGGACUGAGACACUGCCCAGACUUCUACGGAAGGCUGCAGUCGAGAAUCAUUCGCAAUGGGCGCAAGCCUGACGAUGCGACGCCGUGUGAGCGAAGAAGGCCUUCGGGUUGUAAAGCUCUUUCGCUUGGGAACAAGAGACAUAGGAUAAUACCCUAUGAAUUUGAGAGUACCAGGUAAAGAAG